UUCUCAGGGUACCCAGAUCUUCAUUCUGCUCUCAUCUUGGAACCCAGGAAGAUGCCAUCAUCUUUGCAUAGGAACUCAGAGACCUCACAUGAAGUCUUCAUUAGGGAGAAUGUCACCCUGAGAACCCUCCAGCCUGGCUUUCAAGGGAGGAAGAAUUUGGCAUCUCGGGGUUCAGACAUGGCCUAUGGCUUAUGUCAAAGACAGGGGCUCAGAGGAGAGGACCAAUGCUGUUUGUUUUCUCACAUUGCUGGUGACCGGCCUAGAUCUAGAAAGCCAGUUCGCAGGAGAGAGUGUGACCAUCACCUUGUCCAUCUUGGAACGCUCUGGGGAAUUCAGGCUCAAAGUGAUCAGUGUUUUACCAAGUUUCCACAUGUAGAAUGCUUUUCAGCAUUUUUCAUUACAUUUUUAAGGCUCAGAUUGAUGAAGGCAACGGCGCUUUCGGAGUUACUCUACUGUGCGUUGACCACGUUGCUGCUUCAGGAAUGGCCCAGAGAAAAGGAAAACACCAGCCAGGAAGAACAUUAAUGGGAUUCCCCUGGAAAACGACACCAUCAAGAGUUUAGAAAAAUAUUUCCAGGGAAAUGAGGGACCCGCUAUUCAAAAGACAGAAACCAGUGACCUGACACCUCUGUGCUUUAAAAAGCGGAAUAAAAAUGGCGUCACUUACACUUUCCAACUGAAAGAAA